CCCAUGCAGUGAGGAUUGAAAAAAGACACAAGUCAAUGGAAAUGUGGUUGAUACUGCUAUAUAAUAGACAGCAAACUAGGAGAUAUUCAAAUCUACCUUCCAGGAUUUGACAUCUAAGAGGAACAAAAGACUGCAUUCAUCAGUAGGAUGAGACUGUAUCCUGUAUUCGUCAGAAUAUGAAAACUGGAAAUUGUAAUCAAUAAAGCACCCUUUACUACA